GAAUUCUCCCUGAACCACACUCUUGGCAUUUCGGAGACAGGGCACUCUGUCUACUAGCACCGUCGGCUGAAAAGCAUCAAGGAUACCAAUGAUUUCAGACACACUGCUAGGAUACUGCCUCUACUCACUGAAGCAGAAUCCUCUGAAGAGUUGCUGAGGCAGAACUGAAAUCAUGCCUUGCCUCAAAGAAGCAGCUGUAUUGGCCACUAAUGAUGCCUCACACAGAAAGACGAUGCUCCUUUAACUCGAGGGUUUUAAUGGGAAGUUUCUGAGCCUGAAACAACAGCUUCAGAUCUGGGGUGUGCCAUUAGCUGCUUGCAGCUAGCCACCACGGUGUACUGCUGUAACACAGCCUGGUCGGGAAGAAUGGAAACGAAAGAAGCUUGUAACUACCUGUAACUGUUCCACCAGGAAGUGGAUGAAGUGUUGGUUCAGCCAGAUCCAGAUAACUCAGCCUUUCCAAGGUGCAGCCACCAUGAGGUCAGCAAACUGAUAAUGGAAGAAAAGGAUACUGGGGGAUCCCG
rnacentral:lncRNA from 1 species